UAUCUGAUAUGUUCUCUAUCCGAGGACAAUAUAUUAAAUGGAUUUUUGAAGCUUGGAGUUGGAAUAGGAGCUUACUCCGUCCACUCCACACAUCGACCUGGUAUUGCAGUACUUCCAGGAAUGGUGC
ensembl:snRNA U2 U2 spliceosomal RNA